rnacentral:rRNA from 1 species
UACAGAGGGGGCGAGCGUUGUUCGGAAUUACUGGGCGUAAAGGGCGCGUAGGCGACCCGCUAAGUCGAACGUGAAAUCCCCAGGCUCAACCUGGGAACUGCGUCCGAUACUGGCAGGCUUGAAUCCGGGAGAGGGAUGUGGAAUUCCAGGUGUAGCGGUGAAAUGCGUAGAUAUCUGGAGGAACACCGGUGGCGAAGGCGGCAUCCUGGACCGGUAUUGACGCUGAGGCGCGAAAGCUAGGGGAGCAAACGGG